GGAUGCAAUCAUACCUGCACUAAUGCACCAGAUCCCAUCGAAACUCCGAAGUUAAGCGUGCUUGGGAGAGAGUAGUACUAGGAUGGGCGAACCCCUAGGAAGUCCACGUGUUGCAUCCC